GAUAAACGCUGGCUACAGGCUUAACACAUGCAAGUCGAGGGGAAACGACGGGGAAGCUUGCUUCCCCGGGCGUCGACCGGCGCACGGGUGAGUAACGCGUAUCCAACCUGCCUCUGACUGAGGGAUAACCCGUCGAAAGUCGGCCUAAUACCUCAUGGCAUCGUCUGCGGGCAUCCAACGACGAUUAAAGAUUUCAUCGGUCAGGGAUGGGGAUGCGUCUGAUUAGCUUGUUGGCGGGGUAACGGCCCACCAAGGCUACGAUAAGUAGGGGUUCUGAGAGGAAGGUCCCCCACAUUGGAACUGAGACACGGUCCAAACUCCUACGGGAGGCAGCAGUGAGGAAUAUUGGUCAAUGGGCGGGAGCCUGAACCAGCCAAGUAGCGUGCAGGAUGGCGGCCCUAUGGGUUGUAAACUGCUUUUAUGCGGGGAUAAAGUGAGGGACGUGUCCUUCAUUGCAGGUACCGCAUGAAUAAGGACCGGCUAAUUCCGUG
rnacentral:rRNA from 1 species